UACGGGGGGAGCAAGCGUUGUUCGGAUUUACUGGGCUUAAAGGGCGCGUAGGCGGCCACUGCAAGUCAGUUCUGAAAUCUCCGGGCUUAACCCGGAAAGGUCAACUGAUACUGCAGGGCUAGAGUGCAGAAGAGGAAAGCGGAAUUCCACGUGUAGCGGUGAAAUGCGUAGAGAUGUGGAGGAACACCAGUGGCGAAGGCGGCUUUCUGGUCUGUAACUGACGCUGAGGCGCGAAAGCGUGGGGAGCAAACAGG
rnacentral:rRNA from 1 species